CAAUAGCGUAUAUUUAAGUUGCUGCAGUUAAUAAGCUCGUAGUUGGAUUUCGGGUGGGAAUGGCCGGUCCGCCGUUUCGGUGUGCACUUGCUACGCCCACCUUGCUGCCGGGGACGUGCUCUUGAGUUCACGCUCGGGACACGGAGUCGGCGAGGUUACUUUGAGUAAAUUAGAGUGUUCAAAGCAGGCCUACGCUCUGAAUACAUUAGCAUGGAAUAACACGAUAGGACUCUGGCCUAUCUUGUUGGUCUGUAGGACCGGAGUAAUGAUUAAGAGGGACAGUCGGGGGCAUUCGUAUUUCAUUGUCAGAGGUGAAAUUCUUGGAUUUAUGAAAGACGAACUACUGCGAAAGCAUUUGCCAAGGAUGUUUUCAUUAA
rnacentral:rRNA from 1 species